GAUCAUGGCUCAGGACGAACGCUGGCGGCGUGCUUAACACAUGCAAGUCGAGGGGAAACGACAUCGAAAGCUUACUUUUGAUGGGCGUCGACCGGCGCACGGGUGAGUAACGCGUAUCCAACCUGCCCACCACUUGGGGAUAACCUUGCGAAAGUAAGACUAAUACCCAAUGACAUCCCACGAAGACAUCUGAAUGGGAUUAAAGAUUUAUCGGUGAUGGAUGGGGAUGCGUCUGAUUAG
rnacentral:rRNA from 1 species